rnacentral:lncRNA from 1 species
GCACCUUCUAUUCCCAGAAUCACUAGGCGCCGGCGCCUCCGAGGCAGUGUGUUUCCGCCCAGAGCUGGAGUCUCCCAGCUGCCAGCCGACCCCGAACCCGCACUCCCGCCAACCGCGCUUUUUGUGGGCGGUCGGAAACCACAGCCUCCGUUGGAUAUGUUCGGUGCAUGUUAUAAACAACCACUUAAACCCUCCGGAUCUGAGCCUCCCGCAGAGGAAUGCAGAAUGACGCCACGGCACGCAGGAUGUGAUGUCACCGAGAUGCAGAGGAUACUCAGUCAACCAACAUUUACUGAGCAUCUACUUCGUGCCGUAUGUACGAAGCUAGCAAAUAUGUACAGCACCAGUACUGAUUGCAGGGAGCACUGUAGAAGAGGAAUGAAGGCCAAACAAUUAAAAGCGGAGGCGGGGAGGUCUUGUCAACGGAAAGGGGUCCCUAUCCAGACCCCAAGAGAGCAUUCUUGGAUCUCUUGCAAGAAAGAAUUUGAGGCGAAUCCAUAGAGUAAGCUUAGUGAUGUGUGUCAGACCUCUGAGCCCAAGCAAAGCCAUCAUAUCCCCUGUGACCUGCAUGUAUACAUCCAGAUGGCCUGAAGCAAGUGAAGAAUCACAAAAGAAGUGAAAAGGGCCGGUUCCUGCCUUAACUGAUGACAUUCCACCAUUGUGAUUUGUUCCUGCCCCACCUUAACUGAGCGAUUAACCUGUGAACUUCCUUCUCCUGGCUCAGAAGCUUCCCCACUGAGCACCUUGUGACCCCCGCCCCUGCCUGCCAUAGAACAACCCCCUUUGAUUGUAAUUUUCCUUUACCUACCCAAAUCCUAUAAAACGGCCCCACCCCUAUCUCCCUUCGCUGACACUCUCUUUGGACUCAGCCUGCCUGCACCUAGGUGAUUAAAAAGCUUUAUUGCUCACGCAAA